rfam:Candidatus Brocadia caroliniensis isolate 26THWARD NODE_40_length_33497_cov_19.774_ID_79, whole genome shotgun sequence.
CACGAUAAGGGCAAACCCGGAGUGAUCCGGGGACGCAAAGGAAAGGGUCUUUAAAACGGACACGGAAGUCCGGGAAGGCUGGAAAGCCUUUAAAGUAUAAUGUAAGGAAUUCGCUGAAAAGACAGCCUUACUGCCGAAG